rnacentral:tRNA from 1 species
GCGCCCUUAGCUCAGCUGGAUAGAGUGUUUGGCUUCGAACCAAAAGGUCGGGAGUUCGAAUCUCUCAGGGCGUGCCA